GCAGAUUAGGUUAGGUUAGAUUAGCGCUGGAUCUCCUUCCUAUAAAAUAUAAUUAAUUCUUUCGCUUACAAUAUCGUGUGAGACUUGUGAUAAGGAAAUCGGGCCAAACAUGAGUAUCAUGGAUGCCAAGAUCGAACGCGGAGGAAGCGCUAAUUACGGCGGCUCAUAAAAGUACUGCAUCAAUACGGGAAUUUCGACCCUAGUACUCGAGACUGGGUCAGUCUCCCUCGAGCCCCCAUUCAUCACGGCUCCUCUGGGUACCUCGCAUCGCCGAGCCAGUCGCGGAACCAGUACCCUGAAUAUCAAGGGAGAUCCCUUGCCAUCCUCCACCGGAUACGUUGAGGCCCUCGAUAGAUCAGAGUCCUUACAAGGCCAACCAAGGUCACCGAGAAGCCCCGCGUUGCGAGCAUUGAAACAACGGGAAUAAAAAUAAAAAUUGUUAAAUGAAU